GUGAAAUAUUCAUUAAAAAAAUUCGUUUGAGAAACGAACCGAGUUUGUCUCGAUUUGUGCUUACCCGAUUGGCUAGACCAGAAUUUGUUUAGUAUUUUAUCUCAGAUGUAAACCAAUUUCAAUUAAUAUUUGAAUUUGAGAUCCUGAAGUUGGCGUUACCAGAUCUGACAUGGAUCAGUGUGGCCAUAUCGAGUAGGUAUCGAUAUUAAGCUUAGAAGCGUUACCAGAUCAGAAAUAGAUCGGUGUAGCCAUAUCGAUCAAGUAUCGAUGGCAAGCUUAAAAGCGUUGCCAGAUUGUUGUCCUUUGACCAGGCUGUCAAGUUCAUUUCCUGCGGCCAUUCUUUUUCAUUGAACCGGCAGCAGAAGUGGACGUGCGUCUCUCUAUUCGGGAAAAUUAAGUUAAAAAGCCUGUAAAGUGCGAAAUAUUAAAUCGCGAAGUGGCAUCCGGAUAGAUAAAGUGGUGAACAAGUGCCACAAGUGAUUUUUAUAAAGUCGCAAACUUAGCUUUUUGCCGGCGCUGCCGAGACCCAGACGGGGCUCCUCGCCGCCGUUGCUGGCGCCUAGUCGGCACAGUAAUCAUCAUCCGUGGAGAACCGAGAGGAAAACUCCCUGGAUUUAGAUUUUUGGGGCACAGAUCGUGCCCCACGUAAUGAACUCAUAACGAGUUAAGGAAUUGUCAACUCGGGACGGAAUAAUCUCGUAACGAGUUAAGGAGCUUUAAAAGGAGCUAAGGAGGGUUCAGGAACAAGCAUCGAAAACUUCUGCUGGACUCUAGAGCGUCCUAAGGAGCACCCCUCUCGGGUGGCCUCCUAGGAGGGGCUUGCGAGCCGUAAGGAUGUCUAAUUAGCAUGGCUGCGCUGCUGAACUUCGAGGGAGAGUAAUCCUGCAGCGCAUCGUUGCCUGAUCGAGCAACGCAUCUCUACCAGGAGCCGUUUAGGGAUUUCUCGGUGUUUUCAUGGUUCCUGUAGCGAAACUUUGACCUGCGAGUCAUGUCUGAUUUAACCUCACAUCCAUAUUUUUGUGCCUUUGCCGUGGUCGAUCAGACUUAACCUCCCUUCAAUAUUUUUGUCUUUUGGCAUGGCCUAACGAAUUUAGCCAAACUACUUUUUCUCGCUUUUGUGGCAGCCGAUCUGAUCUAUACGAAUUAAAACAAUUUAAGUAUGCUGCGAAGCAGAGUUAUUUUUGAGAGACAAAUGCGAAUCAAAUGUCAACAAAUCGAAUACAAUUCUGGAAUACUGUGAAGAAAGUGCCCAGAGGCAAAACAUACUUUGAAUUAAUGUGUGAAUUUUGAAUUAAUUUAAAUUCUUCGAAUUAAUUUAGUUUUAACUAUCUAUAAA